rnacentral:rRNA from 1 species
CGCGCAGGCGGGUCUGUCAGUCAGGGGUGAAAUCCUACAGCUUAACUGUAGAACUGCCUUUGAUACUGCAGACCUUGAGUUCGGAAGAGAGAGGCGGAAUUCCAGGUGUAGUGGUGAAAUACGUAGAUAUCUGGAAGAACACCAGAGGCGAAGGCGGUCUCUUGGUCCGUAACUGACGCUGAGGCGCGAAAGCGUGGGGAGCAAACA